UACGAAGGGGGCUAGCGUUGUUCGGAAUCACUGGGCGUAAAGCGCACGCCGGCGGAUCGAUAAGUCGGGGGUGAAAGCCCGGGGCUCAACCUCGGAAUUGCCUUCGAUACUGUCGGUCUCGAGUCCGGGAGAGGUGAGUGGAAUUCCUAGUGUAGAGGUGAAAUUCGUAGAUAUUAGGAAGAACACCAGUGGCGAAGGAGGCUCACGGGCCCGGUACUGACGCUCAGGUGCGAAAGCGUGGGGAGCAAACAGG
rnacentral:rRNA from 1 species